rnacentral:rRNA from 1 species
AACGCGAAGAACCUUACCCAGGCUUGACAUCCGCUGUAAGUCCGUGAAAGCGGUACCCCUCCCUCGUAAGAGGGAGCAGUGAGACAGGUGUUGCAUGGCUGUCGUCAGCUCGUGUCGUGAGAUGUUGGGUUAAGUCCCGCAACGAGCGCAACCCUCACCCCAUGUUGCCAGCGUCAAGUCGGGCACUCUUGGGGAACUGCCCGGGUAACCGGGAGGAAGGUGGGGAUGACGUCAAGUCGGCAUGGCCCUUACGCCUGGGGCUUCACCCAUGCUACAAUGGGCGCGACAGAGGGAAGCAAGACCGCGAGGUGGAGCCAAUCCCACAAACGCGCUCUCAGUUCGGAUUGCAGGCUGCAACUCGCCUGCAUGAAGUCGGAAUCGCUAGUAACCGCCGGUCAGCUAAACGGCGGUGAAUACGUUCCCGGGCCUUGUACACACCGCGAGC